rnacentral:rRNA from 1 species
GAUGAACGCUAGCUACAGGCUUAACACAUGCAAGUCGAGGGGAAACGGCAUUAUUUGCUCGCACUUUUUCGACGUCGACCGGCGUACGGGCGAGUAACGUGUCUCCAACCUUCGCAUGACUAAGGGAUAACCUGCCGAAUGCCACACUAAUACUUUAUGGUCUUCACUGACGGCAUCAGAUGUGAAGCAAUGAUUUAUCGGUAAUGGAUGGGGAUGCGUCUGAUUAGCUGGGUGGUGAGGUAACGGCCCACCAAGGCAACGUUGAGUAGGGGUUCUGAGAGGAAGGUCCCCCACAAUGGAGCUGAGGCACAGUCCAAACUCCUACGGGAGAGAGGAGUGAGGAAUAUUAGGCACGGAGCGAGAGCCUGAACCAGCCGAGUAGCGUGCAAGAGUACGGCGAUAGGGGUUGUAAACUGCUUUUGAGUAGGGAUAGUGUCAAUAACGCGUGAUUGUUUGCAGGUACCAUAAGAAUAAGGACCGGCUAAUUCCGUG